rnacentral:rRNA from 1 species
GUGGAGCAUGUGGCUUAAUUUGACCCAACGCGGGAAAUCUUACCAGGUCCGGACAUAUUGAGGAUUGACAGGUGAUAGUUAUAAUAAUAUUUAUAUUAUUAUAGCAUAAAUAUGAUAGUCCUUUCAUGAUUAUAUGAUAGGUGGUGCAUGGCCGUUCUUAGUUCGUGGAGUGAUCUGUCUGCUUAAUUGCGUUUCACUAUUUAAUAGGUAGUGUCUCUAAAUAAUAUAUUCAAUUGUUCUGCUUUAGUUUACUAAAGAAUGUGAACUUGAUUUAUUAUAUAGAACAUUUAACCUUUAUGUGAAUGCAACGAACGUGACCG